ACAAGAAAGAUGAGGAGAAGCAGUUGGACUCAAACAGUAUAAAAAGAACGCGAUUCUGAAAGAAGAAAUCAUCAGUUCUGACCCGGACCAAUUCCGGUGGCAGUGAACGGAAGUGUCCGACGACAAUUUCUAUUUUCGUUUGGUGGCAGCGAGGUGAUUUUCUAAGAUUCAAUUACGACCGGUGGUGCGGCAAUUUCUGAGUCGCAGCAGCGUUUUCAUUCCGUGUGAAUUAAUCCAACUAUAAUUUUAAUUCCUCUUCGCAUUCGGCAAUCGUGAACCUCCGGGCAGCAGAUACGGUGUUGGCAACAGCAACAUACUCUUUCUGAUGCAAUCUAGUGUCAGUUCCUAUAGCCCGGUGAAUUCCGAAAGUUCACCGGAGUAUGUUUGCGAAGGUAUGGACUACGACGUGUACAUACAGAUGAUGGAGGGUGAAGACCCGUACACACCUGGUUAUGCUCCCGAGGCUCCCACCAAUCCAGAUACUCCUGUGGCUCCGUCGGCCCCUUUUGUUUCUUGCCCGGUUAUGGAUGAGGUCCAGGCUACUUAUGGCUUUUACGCCAUAGAACCUUUAGAUAGUAGUGACCCCCUUGAGUUCAUUGUGCACUACCCAUACCCUUGGGACCCUAGUCCUCGGGACGUUUAGGAGGAAUGGUCAAUGGUUAUAACUACUUCUCGGUUUUUGGACCAUAUCACCUGGUACGAGGGGGGAGUGGCAUCUGGUCUGGGGAGAGUUCACCGGCCCCGUGUAUCGCAUGAUUGACUAGAUGUCGAGUUCUUGGGAGUCUUGGAAAUUUUUGGUGUACAUAAUUUUUGUAGCCUUAGUGAUGGCUAGGCAUGACCAGUUGCGUCUUAGUUGAACCUUGUUUAGUAUUUUGGCCGAGGGGCAAUCCUAUGUAUGUAUAACUUCAAGAAUGUAUGUUUUGCGUAAUGGAACUUUCUCAGUUGAUAUGUAUAAAGGUGCUUAAGUA